AUCCAACUGACGAAUCCAAAAUAGGAUGAAACACACAUAUCCUGCAU
rnacentral:hammerhead_ribozyme from 1 species